GCAGAGAGACUAAGAUCUCAGCGCAGACAGCACCUUCCUGGGCCUUCACAUCCUGAGCAGGUAUUUUGGAGGCUUGUCAGUGCCUGGUGGUGCUGUUCACUGGCCUGCUUGCCCAUGGGCCUGGGGAGUUAGCAGAAGUUCACCCCUGUUCUUUGGGGUGUUUCUGUGUGAGACCCACCACAUGGACGUGGACACACCCAUGGCUUUAAACUAACCAUGUGUGCUUCACCCGAGGGAGCAGGGAUUGACUCCCACUGUGAUCAAGCAGGGUGUCCCUAAUAAUAGGAACACGGUGCCCUUGAGCUCCCACUGUAGCGGGAGGUUGUGCUUGCAGAAGCUGAAAUGCAGGCGCGUGAACGACGGGAGGCUGUGUCUGCUGGCUCUUCUGCUGGCACUCAGGUGCCAUCUUUUACUAUAAACAACCCUGGGAUGAAAUGAAGAUGUGGAAGCCAUAAAGGAACCCCAGGGUCAAGGCUGGGGUUUGUGUCCCUGCAGAGAAGAGGGCAUUAAGAAAUUCAUUUCUAAUAUGCUUAGAAAGAUCCAGCCCCAGCCUGCUGUUACGUUUUACCCCUAGGUGUCUCUCAAGCCUCGGGGCUCCUAGGAUGCACGGCUGGGGGUGACUGCUUCCUGGGGGUGUGAUGGUCAUCGGUGGAUUAGUCUGAUGAAGGUUUAUCCGUCAGUACUUACUAGACAAACAAUUAAUGCAAGAGACUCAAAUGUAUAAGAAUUUGCAAGAUACGCUUACAAUGGCCACACGGAGCCGGAUGUGGAAGACUGCAAAAGAUCUGCCUGUGCGCUGGAGCUCUGAACGGUCCAGUCGGAGGCCUUGAGCUCAUCCCCGGGCAGCUCUGUAUCAGGAAGCCACCGGGUCUGUGGUGGAAGGCUGAAGGGUCUCCAGCGGAAGGCUGAGGAGGCUGCGCUGGAAGCCAGGAGAUGACAUCCAAGGUGCAGGUGAAGGCUGGAGCUCCUAUGAAGAAACAGAAGCGAGCCUUACUUCUUCAUUUUCCUUUUAUUUCAUGUAGACGAGGCACCGUUCACGCCCAGGUGGGGUCUGCCGUCCUCAGCACAUCCCUUCAGCCGUACUGAGAACUGUGCAAUUCAAGCUAGCUGGGCCUUUUAGACUCAAAUCAGCACAAUCAGUUAACUAUCGCAGAUUGGUUUAUAGCUAAAGGUGGGGUUGGCAGGCGAAGCUGAUUGGAGGAGGUGCCCGCUGGGGGCGUGGCCCGAAGGGUCCCCUUCCUUCCCUCCUCCCCAUCUCUGCUUCCUGCCACUAAGCUGUGAGCU